GAUGAAGAACGCAGUGAAAUGCGAUACUUGGUGUGAAUUGCAGAAUCCCGUGAACCAUCGAGUCUUUGAACGCAAGUUGCGCCCGAAGCCAUUAGGCCGAGGGCACGCCUGCCUGGGUGUCACACGUCGUUGCCCCCCCAUCUACUCCUUCGGGAUUGCGGGGGGCGGAUGAUGGCCUCCCGUGCGCCUCGUCGCGCGGUUGGCAUAAAUGCCAAGUCCUCGGCGACGCACGCCACGACAAUCGGUGGUUGCGAAACCUCGGUUGUCCGUCGUGUGCGGUCGUCGCGCAUCGAGGGCUCGAAAAAAUUGCCGGGCUCCGGCUCGGCUUUCAACGCGACCCCAGGUCAGGCGGGGUUACCCGCUGAAUUUAAGCAUAUCAAUAAGCGGAGGA
rnacentral:misc_RNA from 1 species